AGCGAAUUGCUUCUUUUAAAACAGUGGGGAUAAGUCAACUGGACAGUGAAAAAUGAUUUUUCUUGUAAAUUCCAUGCUUAAAACAGCAACGCUUUCUCUCUCCACAGUUCUGAACACAGAGUGCUUUGGUGGGGUUAGGCAUUGGAGGCAGGAGAUGGCUUAAUACAGUGUUUCUCAACCAGUGGUACGAGUACCCUAGGGGUACUGGAGAGACGUCUUGGGGGAGACUUCUUUCUGGACAGAAAGGCCUGAAGAUUCCAACAGAGCCGUCGUGCGUUGCUUCGCUGAUCCUGGACCCAACACUGACCCAUGUGGCAUGUCCAUCUCCUGUCAAACAUGAUGAUCAAGCACCAGCUUUUCUCCUUCCACCGGCUCCUUCCUUGGGAGAGGAGAAAGGGCGAGAGGAUAUCUGGGUAAGCUUCACCAUAAACCCACAUAGGAAUUAAUUACACCACAAUUAGCGAGGUGACCGAAACCCGCCCUGUACAAAUAGUUAUUCAGUUCCGAAGAACCGAGGCAGGCUCGGAAUUCAUUAGCUCCCCAGAAAAUUACUUUCACUCCUUUCUCACUGCCGCUGACUCAGCCUCGCCUUUGCCUCCCCCAGGUUUAUUUAUUUCUCUCUCCAUCCAGAGCGAUUAAAAAACCCCACCUCCCUGCCUGGCUGCCUGAGGUAUCAUCUAAUUGGACAGCCAGGCUGAGAGAACUGACUUGUUUGUUUUGAACUUGAGGGAAGCAGUUGCUUU